AUUUAUCCUGGACUUUUUCUUGUCAUGUUUUCUUUUAGUGUAUGAUCAGGACUUUAACAAAGCCACUGAUCCAAGCACAGUAGCACCUCCUCCCAUCCAACCAAAGGACCAAAGCGAAGGGGAAAAGAUGACCAGUGAACUAAUGACUAUUAUUAGUCAGUUUGGGGACAAGGUGGCACAGUUCAAAAAUGGAGUCAACACAAUGUCUAUAAGUGUUGAGGAACAACGAAUGGUCUUUAAAAGUAUGAUGGAUGCCCAGGAUCAGUUAGAGAGGAAUUACAUAAUUAAGAAGGAAGAACACAGGGCUCUGGAGAUGCAAAACUACAUGGGCAUUGCCAAAAAUACAGGCGAGUUUGAUCCAGACAGGUAAGCAUGAGAAAAUGAACACGUCCCUCUUUUAUUUUGUUAAUGUACAUAGAUGUUCUGAACUAACCACUAAAACAUGUCAACUAGAGCUAAUGGACA